GGAAGCAAAAGUCGUAACAAGGUUUCCGUAGGUGAACCUGCGGAAGGAUCAUUAUUGCAUAACCGAGGUGCGAGGGCUGUCGCUGACCCGAAAGGUCGUGCACGCCCGAGUGCCCUCACACACAUCCAUCUCACCCCUAUGUGCACCACCGCGUGGGUCCCCCUUUGGCUUGUUCGGAGGGGGGCUUACGUUUUCACACAAACUUUGUAUGCAGUGUAGAAUGUAUUUUUUGUUUUUGCGAUCACGCAAUCAAUACAACUUUCAACAACGGAUCUCUUGGCUCUC
rnacentral:misc_RNA from 1 species